rnacentral:lncRNA from 1 species
UUUUGGAUCAUAUAAUAUUUUUUUCAUGUGAAGAUUAACAAAGACUAUAGACACAUGGUAUUCCCAAAGAUCAUAUAAUAAUAUUACUUAGAGAUAACUGGUAAAUUGAACUCUGGAGUUUAAUUAUGUAUUUUGUUGCAAGUGGAAUAUCGCAGUUGAUAUCGGAACUCCAAUAACUGCAUUGCAAUAACACAUAACGGAUUCAAACACUCACAGUAUUUAUGACUCACAAGUCAGAAGAAUGAUAAAAAUACAUGAGUAGUUCCUUUGGUGACACCCCCAGCAGCUUCCACGCCUUCAUGUUUCUCGAUAUUGAAUCGAUAAAAAAUAAAGUAUUGGAAGCCUUUGAGGGUCACUAAAAGCAUUCUCUAUUCAAACUUGGUAUAUGCUUAGUCAUGCACUUCAUAU